GAGAAGGAAGCAUGGAGAAGGAAAUCCUUAUCUUUCCAGUGGAAAGGAAGGGGCAAAAAGAGACUCCAAAUGACUAAUUUUUUUUAAUCACUUGCCGUUUGAACAUGUGACUUGAGAAUUUAUCAAAAAAUUAAAUACACCUCCUACAGAAGAUGUUCCUCUCCCCUGAUAUGAAGAACAGAAAAUAAAACGGCUAUCCCGUACUGUAUCUUCCACUGACAUUAGUGAAGUAUAGUUCUCCAGAAUCUCAAAAUCAGAUCUGCCAAUAUCACUGGCCAACUCUGUGCAGCAGUUAAGGAUACGGACGUACCCUUAUGAGAUCAAGAUCAGGAAGACGAGGUUUUCUACGAAAUCAGUUUUUCCUGUCUGGAUUGUGGCAAACUGCAGCCAAAGAUCAUCACCGCUGUCUGGAACUGGUCUGCUGCAGAAGAAUCGGAGCAGGUAGCUGACCUAAGGACAGUUCAUAUCCAUGAAAGAAUAGAGCACCUAUGCAACCAUAAAAAGAGCAGCGUGAUGUGGAGCUGUCAUCCCUGUGCGAUAGAUUGCAAAAUGGGUUAGUCCUCCCUUUCUUACCUCUGCUCCUGGAUAUCGCUCUCAUUUCACUUACUUAGGCAUUGUCACCGCUGCUGGUAUAUCCGAAGCAAGCCAGUGCAGGAAGAAAUGGAAGGAGCUCUCUCCAACACAGCACAGCCACCUGGAAGCAGUUAAUGCUGUGGAAGAAAUGGAGAAGCCAGUUGCUUGCAGCAGAAGGACAACAGCAGGAACCCUAGAUGUACAGGGGUGGGACAGGAUGGAAGGAUGGCAGGCCCUUUCCAUCGCUCUGCAUGUUCUUGCAAAUGCAACGGUAAAAUGUCCAGGCUGGUGCCACUGUUCAUUGCCCAUCUCCAGACAGGCCCUUAAGUGGAUAAACGAUACCGAGGUCUCUUACUCUCUGUUUUUCUCUCCUUUUUCCACAUUUUGGCAGAUUCCUGGUGGUUGGGUUUUGCUGUCAUUUUUUAUCACUUUUGUUUUACAUCAAAGAGUGGAAGAAGAAAGCUUUCUGUUCUGUCUGAGCAGAUGAGCUCAUGGGUAAAUGAGCAAAACCAGACCAUUGAAAUCUCAGCAUUAUGCAGUUUGAUGGUAGCCAAAAGGACAAGGGAGAAUCUUCCGACUGGGCAGGACACCCUCCACUACCCACUACUAAUCUUGUCAUUCCAGAAUGUAACUCUAGACGCUUUGGACUAGAUUGGGAUUUGAGAUACACCUAUUUCAAUGUCAUCAGUCUUUUCGUCUGUUUCUGUUUUAAUUAAUGUUUUGUGGGCUGUAUUUCUGCAGCUGGAUAGUAGGCUGCUUUGGAUCCAAUUUAUUUCCGUGGAUCAGGCAAUUUAGUUUGCUUUGAAGUUUUCAUUGUGAUU